UUCCACAGGCUGAAGUUGUCGUGAUUGUGCGCUCCCCCGUGUACGCGGGGAAGGUCUUCGAGCUCGUCAGCAAUGCCCUUUCCUGGCAGGACGCAAAGGAGGUGUGUUUGCAGCGAGGAGGCCUGCUCGCCUCGGUCAUGCACGCGUCAGAGGACGACGUUUUG
rnacentral:ribozyme from 11 species